CCCAGCCUUCAGCCCUGCCUUCCCUCUUCCCUAACCACAUUCCUGCUUUCUUCACUUGUGAGCUACUGCCUCACUUGUGUUCUAGACCCCGUGACCUCUUAUUUACUCAAGGACACCACUCCCAACAAUUCCCCCUUCUCUCUCCAAGGUCUCCACUGAAUUCCUACCAUGAGUAUUUUUAAACAGCUGUUGUACCUCCUUAUCACCUAUCUACCGGACAACUCAGAUGAUACAAAGGCUCUGUGAGGACAGGUAUGAUGACUGCAGGACCUGGGAGAUCAUGGGGCACACCCAGGUGGGACAGGGAGAAGGCAAGGAAGGACAGCAUCUUGGGCUGAGCUCCUUCCUACUGGCUUGGCUUUCAUGCUGGAAGAUGAGAUGGGAAGAAUCCUCUGGGAAGUCAGCUAUACCCAGGAUAAAAUUGAGUGCUGCGAAUUUCUGAGUCAUUUCCUCGGUUUUGGAUGUUCACUAGUGCAUCUUAGUCAACCCACGCAGAGGCUCUGUCACUGUCACAGAUAAAUGUCACAAAAAUAACAAAUGCACUUUGAACUUCAAGGACGGGCCUUCCAGACCAGUAACCAUGGCAACACCAGAGGCACCCUGAAGAAGUGUGGUGAAUUUCUCCAGGCGCGGGCAUGGGCUUCUUCAUCUCUUUCCCCCUUCUGCUUUUCUACUCCUUUUUAUUUUCCUUUCUCCUCACCUUUUCUUGAUUCUUUCCUGACCCUCAUAUUCUGCAAUUAUUUUUGCAAAACAGGUAUAUGCUGUGCCUAGAACGGUGCCAGGCACACAGCAGGUGUACUGUUCGGUGAAUAAAUGAACGAAUGAAUGAAGGCGCUAACCGACUCGAGUACACUGUCAAUGUCAUCACAUUAUUUAUUUAUUUAUUUAUGAUAGUCACACAGAGAGAGAGAGAGAGGCAGAGACAUAGGCAGAGGGAGAAGCAGGCUCCAUGCGCCAGGAGCCUGA